CUAACACAUGCAAGUCGAACGGUAGCACAGAGAGCUUGCUCUCGGGUGACGAGUGGCGGACGGGUGAGUAAUGUCUGGGAAACUGCCUGAUGGAGGGGGAUAACUACUGGAAACGGUAGCUAAUACCGCAUAAUGUCGCAAGACCAAAGAGGGGGACCUUCGGGCCUCUUGCCAUCGGAUGUGCCCAGAUGGGAUUAGCUAGUAGGUGGGGUAAUGGCUCACCUAGGCGACGAUCCCUAGCUGGUCUGAGAGGAUGACCAGCCACACUGGAACUGAGACACGGUCCAGACUCCUACGGGAGGCAGCAGUGGGGAAUAUUGCACAAUGGGCGCAAGCCUGAUGCAGCCAUGCCGCGUGUAUGAAGAAGGCCUUCGGGUUGUAAAGUACUUUCAGCGAGGAGGAAGGUGUUGUGGUUAAUAACCACAGCGAUUGACGUUACUCGCAGAAGAAGCACCGGCUAACUCCGUGCCAGCAGCCGCGGUA
rnacentral:rRNA from 1 species